AGAACCCAGCAGACCCAGCCCAGCUCCCCGAAGUGGGGCCACUAAGAAGCCACCUCUUGCCCAGAAACCCAGCAUAGCCCCCAGGCCGGACAACCAGGUACCAGGCAUUGGUGCUGGGUUAGGGAGGAGUUUGCCAGCAGUGGAGUGGGGGCUACACUCACUCAGUGGUACAUAUGCUUCUAUCUCCUCUACUGAGCCCCUCAUCUUUGAUCCCUGCAGCUCGACAAGAAGGAUGGUGUCUACCCAGCUCAACUUGUGAACUACUAGGCCCCCUAAGGUGUUCAGCAGUUUGGCUGGGGGCUAUGCCUGGGCUUCAUGUGGCUGUCUGGCAGCGGUCAAGGGGCCUCUGAAAGGCCUCCAACUCCUGCACCUGGAGCCCAAAGCAGUGUCCCUAAGGCCCCAGCCUUCACCUGCCCAAGGGGCCUGGUCUCUGUGGGACAGUUCACGUGGAUGUGACUCUAUUUAUCUCUAGUAGGAACUGCCCAGAGCAGCUGGGACCCAGCAGGCCUGAGCCACAAAUCUGCAGCGGACAUCUGAGAUGGCUUGAACGCUGCGAGUUCUUUCUUUCCUUGUAAGUUUAGUCAGCACACUGGGAAAAGGCCACAAGCCAGGGCCUCCUUGCCUCUGGACUCAAAAGUCUGAGACCACAAGUGAACAACAGAAAGAGGGUCCCUGCUGGCUAUCGGGGAUAAGGGGAUGACCUGUGACCCCUGAGCCAGGGAGAGCAGGUAGGCUGGCUGGGGUCAUCAUCUGGGGGCCUGGUGCUAGGGCACCCAUGCUGGGAGCCCCAGGAGAGCAGGCUUUGUGUGGGUGCCAUGGCUGUGGGCAACCCCUGCUCAGGUGCUGUCUCUAGCCUUGAAGACCUGGAAGCCGCCCUCACCCUUGCUGUUUCCAUCCUUCUGGCUACUAGUGUGGCAGUCCACUGCCCACCUCGAUGGCCGAUUCAGCCCUCCUAAAGCUGGGGCCUUCCAGCCAGUUAGAAGCUAGGAAAAAAGCAGAUGUCACAGCCCAUGUUUCUGGAGGCUCAGGAAUUCCUGCUGCAGAGGCCCAGGCUCGGAGGCCCAGGCUCGGAGGCCUGGCCUGGCCUGGCCUGCCCUGCUCCUGACACUUUGAAUAAAUUUGUGUUUCUAGAGCCCGAGGGGGAGUUGUUGGGGGUGGGGAUAUCUAGGCCACCAAUAAAGCCAGCAGCUGGUCUGGGACAAGUGCCCAGCUUCCUCCAGCUGCCUGCCCUGAGCCCUGGGUGGCUACCAACCAUGGGGCAAGGUCCGGGCGUCGGGAGGGAGCCAACUCCUUUGCCCUGGGCCUAGUAUUCCUGUUGAGUCCUGUUGGCAAUAAACCCUGACUGUUGUUACCAGUGCCCUA
rnacentral:lncRNA from 1 species